AUUUGUAUUGCUGACAGGCACACCCUAAAACGUAUAAGAAGAGGUCUCAGAGGUGUAGUUUAUGGGAUGUUUCUGAUAAACUGUAGGUUUCCAUUUGAUUGGAAGGCUGUACAGGUGGUUUGGGAGAUGCGCAGUGUUGCCCAACGUCACACUCGGUGGUGGUAUAAAAUCCCCUGGGUUUGUCCUCCAGUCAUUUAUCUUGAGAAAAUACGAAGGCAGGAAAGCUACAUUACGCGCAAUUGUUGCUGUGAAGAACCCGAUAACAAGAUGACUAAAAUUGUGUUGGCUUACAUUGGGUUCCUUCUCCUUGCCAUGCAUUUUUCGUCACAGAUCCACGCGCAAAACACUACCACACAGUCCCCAACCAUGAAUGCUACGACCAGAGCUGGCGGUGCGAGUUUCAACAUGACCAAGAUGCCCGACGUCACCAAGAACAACAUUGCCAAAGGAGCCAGUGCAUCUUUGCAGUCCAGCUCGGUUGUGCUCAUCAUACCCAUCAUGGUGGGGGGCUCACUACAGGGGGGCUUCUAGAGGGUCUGUUGAGCAGUGAACAGACACCGGAAAGACUUGAACAUCAGCGGCCUAGAUGGGGCAAACUGUUUGACAAAGAGCCCAUUUAAAAAAUAAUAAUAAUGAGAAAGGCAGUCGUGUGCGCUCCUAACCGAAGAGAUUCGGUGGAGUUGUGUGCCAGAUGAGAAACCAUUUCUAUUUCACUGAUGGGAAUUGUUAUAUUCCCUCACCUUCUGGCUGCUUCAAACCAGUAGGCCUUCACACCUUGCACACUGGCCCCAUGCCCAUUGGCCGAACUGGAAUAUGGAAUUGUAUGAGUUUGCAUGUGAGAUUUAAUUGUAUGAAUCAUGAUGUGAUCUGCUUAGAUUUGUUUUUAAGGCCAGGUUCAAUUAACCUUUAAAAUGUAGGAUACUUGUGACAAUUUUCUUGUAUAAUAAAAAUACUAAAUAAAGAAA